rnacentral:lncRNA from 1 species
UGCAGGAACUGGCCGGAGAGGCCAAGGAGACCAGCAGCACGAGAGCGAGGCCAAAGCAAGGUAUGUGCAAUUUCUUGCUCUGUGUCUUGUUUGAGCACUGGAGUGUCUGCAUGGUUUCCUGGUGAAACUAGGACGGAAACCAGAGCGUAUGUUGUGCCCUGCCUGGAUAAGACAUCAGUGGUGGUCUAUUCAUGAACACCAUGAGGGGGGAAGAAAGAUCUUGCUCCCAUUAUGCGUUGGUCCUCGCAGUCGUAGUCAGCACGAAGAAAAGAAUGGGUGGUUCACACUGUGUGACGGCUGCCUGCUAUAAUCCACUGACCAGUCAAUUUCCAAAUCUUACUGAAUAGUGACCGUACAAAAUAUUGCUUUUCUAGACCCUAAUAACUAAUUCCUGACCCAGUCUGUCUAGAAUUGUUACUUGAAGCGAUAAUUUUCUUGACCUGACAUGACUUGUCUUACCGGCUUCACCAAACAAUUCUCACAUUUUCCCACUGAUACUGACAACCAAAUAUCGGUUCUUGAUGCAGGAAAGAAAAGCAGGGCAUAAGAGAAAGAAACAGUAGGUGAAGAAGAUUUUGCGAAGAUUCUACCGGGCGAGACAAUGCGCCGGGAAGAUCGUACCGAAAGGCGCCUGCGAUUGAGAGCAAUCAUCAUGGUGUGUAGACAAAGGCCAAGUGGAGGGCAGGAAGAAAGUGCAGUUUCCUGGCUUCCUGGCUUAAUGGACGGGGUGGGUGGUCGAUCCGUGCGGUCUCCUCCAUCCCCUUCUUGACCCGGGGGCGUUUACUUGCCCUUGUCACGCGUGCGUGCGUGCGAGCUUCGUCUGAUGUUUACGUUUGCUCUUCUUUUGCCAUUCUCCUGGCUCCACUGGCGCACUAUAAUUGCGGACCGUGGACGGUGACGCUUUGUGGCUGUCAUCUGAAGUUUGAACCGUAACUUGGGGUGCUGGCAAUGGUGAUGCUAAGUACAGUUUUCUACUCCUAUUACUGUUGUUUUGGAAUGUUAAUUAGUUUACUUGAAUACAAAGGUGGUGUUGAUUAGUUUACUUGGAUAGGUCGACAGCUCCAAUUAUAUGGAUAAACCCUUUUUAAGAACUAUAUUAAGCGAAAUUGCC